rfam:Pseudoalteromonas tunicata D2 1099591001424, whole genome shotgun sequence.
GCCGUGGUGGUGGAAUUGGUAGACACGCCAUCUUGAGGGGGUGGUGAGCUAUGCUCGUGCGGGUUCAAGUCCCGCUCACGGCA